rnacentral:rRNA from 1 species
GAUGAACGCUCGCGGCAGGCCUAACACAUGCAAGUCGAGGGAGAAGCCCUUUCGGGGGCCGAAACCGGCGCACGGGUGCGUAACGCGUAUGCAACCUACCUUUCACAGGGGGAUAGCCCGAAGAAAUUUGGAUUAAUACCCCAUAAUAUUAUUGGAUGGCAUCAUUUGAUAAUUAAAACUGCGGUGGUGAAAGAUGGGCAUGCGUCCUAUUAGCUAGUUGGAGUGGUAACGGCACCCCAAGGCUACGAUAGGUAGGGGUCCUGAGAGGGAGAUCCCCCACACUGGUACUGAGACAGGGACCAGACUCCUACGGGAGGCAGCAGUGAGGAAUAUUGGUCAAUGGUCGGAAGACUGAACCAGCCAUGCCGCGUGCAGGAAGAAUGCCUUAUGGGUGGUAAACUGCUUUUAGAUGGGAAGAAUAAGGCGUACGUGUACGUUGAUGACGGUACCAUAUGAAUAAGCAUCGGCUAACUCCGUG